UUUGAUGGAGAGAGGGACAACUCAACAGGUUGUCAGUAGAGUCCCAUAGCUUUGAUGGAGAGAGGACAACUCAACAGGUUGUCAGUAGAGUCCCAUAGCUUUGAUGGAGAGAGGACAACAGGUUGUCAGUAGAGUCCCAUAGCUUUGAUGGAGAGAGGACAACUCAACAGGUUGUCAGUAGAGUCCCAUAGCUUUGAUGGAGAGAGGACAACAGGUUGUCAGUAGAGUCCCAUAGCUUUGAUGGAGAGAGGGACAACUCAACAGGUUGUCAGUAGAGUCCCAUAGCUUUGAUGGAGAGAGGACAACAGGUUGUCAGUAGAGUCCCAUAGCUUUGAUGGAGAGAGGACAACAGGUUGUCAGUAGAGUCCCAUAGCUUUGAUGGAGAGAGGGACAACUCAACAGGUUGUCAGUAGAGUCCCAUAGCUUUGAUGGAGAGAGGACAACAGGUUGUCAGUAGAGUCCCAUAGCUUUGAUGGAGAGAGGACAACAGGUUGUCAGUAGAGUCCCAUAGCUUUGAUGGAGAGAGGGACAACUCAACAGGUUGUCAGUAGAGUCCCAUAGCUUUGAUGGAGAGAGGACAACAGGUUGUCAGUAGAGUCCCAUAGCUUUGAUGGAGAGAGGACAACAGGUUGUCAGUAGAGUCCCAUAGCUUUGAUGGAGAGA